AGAGUUUGAUCCUGGCUCAGAGCGAACGCUGGCGGCAGGCUUAACACAUGCAAGUCGAACGGGCGUAGCAAUACGUCAGUGGCAGACGGGUGAGUAACGCGUGGGAACGUACCUUUUGGUUCGGAACAACUGAGGGAAACUUCAGCUAAUACCGAAUAAGCCCUUACGGGGAAAGAUUUAUCGCCGAAAGAUCGGCCCGCGUCUGAUUAGCUUGUUGGUGAGGUAACGGCUCACCAAGGCGACGAUCAGUAGCUGGUCUGAGAGGAUGAUCAGCCACAUUGGGACUGAGACACGGCCCAAACUCCUACGGGAGGCAGCAGUGGGGAAUAUUGGACAAUGGGCGAAAGCCUGAUCCAGCC
rnacentral:rRNA from 1 species